ensembl:lncRNA
AUGAGACUCCCUUUGAAGGCCAGACAGAUAGCGCGAGGGAAUGAGAGAAAGAGAGAGAGAGUGGGAGAAAGAAGGGGGCUGGGGGCAAGCAAUAGGAGCGCAAUUAAAAUUGCACACACUGGCGAAAUCUUUUUCUUUUAAAGCACAAGUCCUAGCCCUCUUUAGGGAGCUCAUCAACCCCUUCUCCUUUUGAAGAUUUCACAGUGUUUUUUUCUUUCUGGUUUUAGGCAGACAACGAGUUGCUGGCCGCUCCAUUAUGGCCUUGUUUGCUCCUUGUAUGCAGGAUCAUCCAUACAAUAAAAGCGAAAUUAAAAGUUCUCAGAUGUGCGGCACUGUUGGCACAUGCUGCUAGCGUACGCAUAUUCUCUCCGCCCCCGGAUGGAUUGAAGAUACCACCUUCACUUGGGAGUGAAGGCCAGAGAGGAGAAAACGUGAGGGGAUGCCUUCUGCCUAUCGGGCACAAGAGUGUUUGCAUGUUGACUUCAGAGCCAAAUCAGGAGGCAACGAAGGGGACAGGCCACAGCUUUCAGCAACAUGUCAACUGGACACAGUAACUCAUAAAAUAUCCUCUGUGCGCAUGAAAAAUGCAGGCUGACUCCAGGAGAAGGGUAUGUAUAAUUGAUUCAAAUGAGGAGCUCUUCCCUGCCAGGGACCGUGCGCUCAGUUUGCCAGCUGCUGUGCUGGGAGAACAGAAUGUAGGCCAGAGGAAGAAGAAAGGUGCUCUGGACACAGCCUGACCCGGUGGGAGAGAAGAAAUGAUAGAGGACAUACCACAUCAAGCCCCAGGCCAUGACGUGUAUGACGUUAGUAAGAGUUUCUUUCAAAUGCAUCACUAGCAUCGUUUGCAUUAGCUGAUGCAGGACAGUCGCAUAACACCCUCGUUAAAUAAGCUAGUGACAACCAAAGAUAUGAAAAAAGUUUGAAUUCAGCCUUGUGUUAUAUGUUAAAGGGACAGUUCAUCUAAAUUAAAAUUCUGUCUUCAUUUACGCACCCUUAUUAAUAUGUGUGUGUAUAUAUUUUGUGUGUGUGUGUGUGUGUAUAUAUAUAUAUAUAUAUAUAUAUAUAUAUAUAUAUAUAUAUAUAUAUAUAUACACACAUACAGUAUAUUAUACACAAUACACAUACAGUAUAUUAUCCAUAUAAUGACAGUAUGAAACUGUACUGGAAAAACAAGGAAAGAAAGUCAUACAGGUUUAAAAUGACAUGAGGUUUAGUAAAUGAUGACAGAAUAUUUUCUUUUGUUUGUAUUUUCAUUCUGUAAAGAACAGAAGGAAAAUUAAAGAUUGUUUAUUGAAAAUGGCUUUGAUACAUCUGGCUCCCUAUAUAAAUAUUUGGUCUUCGACCCUGUAAAUUUAAACUAUUGUGUAAUGGAAUAUUCUUUUGAAAGUUACAGUUUCAGUCAUCUUUGGCUUUGCCAAACUAAGAACAAAAUAUUCCUUAUUAACCUGUAUAAAUUCCUAAAG